ACUAAGUGAUGAAAAACGUAGCAUCAUCCGCUGCACCAAACAAUACAGCAGCGAAGUGACACUGCCAGGACUUGAACCAACACCUGCCUGCCUCACUGACACCUGCCGUGGUGCCAGGGAGUGCCGAGGCCCGUGCUGCCACCACGCUGAGAGAGGGAGAAAGAGAAGAGCAUCAGAGAGGGAUGACCGUGGCAGGAAGGAUGGUGUGUUAGGUGACUGGUUCAGACAGUGACAGUGGACAGAAGAAAUGCUGGAGAAAGAUUAGACCACAGGUGGUUCAUGUUGUACUAGUUCAAGGUUUGGCAGAAAACAUUUUUUUCUAGAUAGACAGUGGCAGCAAACACACAAGGGAGGAUGGUGUGGUGGAAAAGAGGAUGCAGGGAGACGGCAGACAGAAUGGAAGCUACAGAUGAAAGAAGAGCAGGUCAAGCCAUGGCAGCAGACAGACAGAGACAGAUUGGAUCAGAAAGUAUUAUUAUUUAGUGAGACAGGCCCACUGGAAGCUGUCAGUCUGCUGCGGCACGUGGCAAGAACCAAGUGUUGAGGAGCACACGUUGUCCCUUCACCAGUCAGCAGGUCUGGGCGGCUCGGAAGUCUCACUACAAACUGGAGAUCCAUUCUCUUGGACACAGCUGGAGUCGGACACAAGAUUCAAGAGGGAGUCAUUUUAACGAGAGCUUCAGGCAGAAAAUUCGAGUGGAUUUUCAUUUCUAAAAAUAUCUUAUUUUUUGGGGGGGAUAUUUUGAAUCCUUCUUUAGUGCCCUCUAAGGGGUGUGAUGUUCCCUUGUGGCACACGAAAAUUACUAACCCUAUCACUGGAU